GGAGGGCCGCGGGCUCCCAGGCGGCCUGCGGCGCGGAGGCGGGCAUUGCCGACCGGCGGAGAGGACCCCGGACCCCGCGGGCAGGGGGCGUCGUCCCUCGGGCUGCGGAUCGGGCCCGUUGGCGGGCGUCGAGAGCGCUGCCAGACGACCUCUUCCUUUCUCGGAAGACAUUGUGGAGGCUUCUGGACAAGGGGAUGCGGAAGAUGGAAGAGUCAAGUGGAGUGUGGGCACACGCAAACCACCCCCGAUGGUUUUGAUUUCCAUUUAUUAAAACGUGAGUCUAGAGAUUGUGCACCUCCCCAGGGGCACACAAAUUCUUGAGAGCCCCAAGACCAGAGUCCAGUUGCCAUGACACUGCUUCGCCGCCAUCCUACUCAGGUUGAGCUUUUACUUCUGUGACACAGAAUGGGCAUCCCCCCUCUGCUACAGAAGCUCUCCUGAGAUGUCGGUUGAGAAAAGGUCUGACACUGGAAAUCCAUCUUAAAAUGCCACCAUAUCAGACCAGACACAGGAGUAAUUCAGAAUAACGUAUGUAGUGGGUUGGGGGCUGGAGAGCAGAUGGGAACUAGUUUAUCUGCAUUACCGUAGGUCUUUAAGUGAAUAAUUUUGUUACUUUCAAGUGUACCCCAUACUUGAAAGGUUUUACAAAUAAAGGUAUUACCAAGCCGUU